ACAGAUCCUCUGUUGCAUCUGCCACAAGUUAGGUAUUGAGCGACAAAUGCCCCUACUGUCUAAAUGCAAAAUCCAAAAUGGUUAUAUGACUAUAUGAAUUAAUGGUGCCUUUAAUCUCCAUUGGUUUUUAAGCACUGUUCAUUAGCUCUCCAGGUAAAUCUUGUACACACAGACUUCAAUAUAAAAAAGGAUGCAGGUGGGUUAGCCUUUCGUGCUGUUCAGAGAGAUUUCGAGGUUCAUGUAUCUGAGAACUAUCUCGAAGUUCAUCUCUUUUGGGCUGGAAAGGGAACAUGCUGCAUUCCUCCUAAUAGUGGUUCCUAUGGACCAUCCAUUUCGGGCGUUAGUGUUACUCCAGAUUUUAUACCGAGAGUUAGUAAUCUUCCACCAACAGGCACUUCAACAAAGAACAGGACUGGAUUGCUUGUUGGGAUAUUAGUUGCUGUUGGAGUAAUGAUCCUUGUAACCAUUUUCGCCGUCUAUAUUUUAAUACGAAGAAGGAAAAGGUUGGAGUUGCUUCCAGAAUCAGAGCGGUUCAGCAGUUGGGGUUCUUAAUUAGGUUUUUAUGUAUAUUAGUGACUGGGCGCCAGGAGUUACUUGUUUUCCUGGCGCUGGGUUUUCUGGAUGGUUGGUUUUUUUUUUUUUUUUUUUCCUUUCCGUUGUUUGUUUGCUUUGGCCUUUUUCCUUUUCUUCUAUUGGCCUAUAGCCCUAAUAAAAGUGCGUCAUCUUUUAAAAAAAGAAAAAAAGAAAGAAGGUUGGGCAAGGACGAAGAUUAGCAAAGGGUUUAACUCAGACAUGCCAAAAUCAUUUGGGAUGUUUGGAUGACUACCAAAUUGAAUUACAAUUAUUAGUCUAAUAAAGUGCAAUUAGCCAGAUUUUUGCACGCUGAGAAACGCAACUGCAAUUUGAGGGACUUCCUCAGAGGAAGCCAAGGACAGUAUCCUUGAGCCGUUUGUACAGUGGGACCCGUGUGACAGUGAUCAAGAGUGUUGAUCUCAUGGGCUCCAAUUUGGACGAGUGAUUCCCCAAUAAUUUCCGUCUGGAAGAUUGUAGCAUUCAAUCUUUUGCCUCAUGUCAUUUUAAUGUGGACUGCUGCUGUAUUUCUUCUCUGCUGCCCAUUCUCUCAGCGAUUUUUGUGAGUCA